rnacentral:rRNA from 1 species
GUGGCUGUAGGUGAACCUGCUGCCGGAUCAUUAACG